AUUCUACAUUUAAUCUGUAUGUAUUGUACAUAACCUGUAAACUAAAAACUACUCAUCUGUGAUUAAAUUGUGCUAACUUUAAUUAAACGAUUAAAUAAAGUAAAAAAUAAAGGUAAUAUUCUUUAUAAUAAAAAAAAAUAUGGCUUUGAAUAUCAAAAGUUAUUCAACAUAUUUAUUACAUAAAUUAUAAUGUAGUCAUUUUUAUCUGACAAUCAUAUUGCAUGAACAUAUAAUAGAUAAUCGUCUUUAUACAAGCAAUAACAUUAUACAAAUAUGGUAUCAAUUCUAUGAUAUUCUAUUGAAAAAACAAUGUUUUUCAAUAGAAUUUCUGUGCUACAAUAGUUUAGCUGGUCGCAUAUAACAAUUAUAUAUUGCAUAAAUAAGAUGAACAUGUAGAAUAAUUUCUUUUUUUAUCUUAAACAUCGACUAUGUGACUUAUCCUUUGUGAUAAAUACAUUUUUUGAAUUUAAUUGACAAUCAGUUAAUAUUAAGAAUACAAUUACAGGAUGUCAUACAAAUUGAAAUUACAUUUAGAUCAUAUAAUAUAGGACAAUAUUGUACUGUUCUAUAUUUCUAUAUAAUCGUAAUAGUCUUUUUUGAUACAAUAAUUAACUGCAAUUAUUAAUUUUUAUAGAACAAUACAAAAAGCGUAGUAAUAUAUUAAGCAAAUGUUUAUCCAUUAUUCUCAUUUAUAUCAUAUAAAAUCAUAAUUUCAUAAAUGAAAUAUUCCAUUGGGAAGUAGUAAUAAAUAUCAAAAGGACUACAAGUGCACUUGCCCAUUAUAUCUCAUAAUUGAUAUUUAUAGUUUUCUCGUUAAAAAACGAGAUAUAAUAUUGAUACGAUAUUAAAAACAGUGUUCUUACGUUCUUUACAAUAAUUUUGGCAGUGAUAGCUCUUAUGUGAAAUAUUCUACUUACUAGCAAACCGUAUAAAUAUAUCUACAAAUUUACGAAUCAACAACUCUCGAAAUAAAUAACUUCAUUCGAGUUUCAUUGAUUUUACAAAUUAGUUUAUUUUUAUAUUACUUAUAUUUAUAUACGUCAUUUCUAUUUCAAAUAUUUUUUUACUUAACACUACAACAGUAAUAAAUAAUCACGCUUUUUAUAAAUUUCCCUAUAAAUUAUCCGAGAAAUGAAAUCAUUUCCUUCUGUUAUAAACGAUUAUAUUAAUGAAUAAAAAUAUUAAAUUAAUAUCUAUCUAUUUCAUUUACAUUUUAAUUUUUUUAAUAGUUAUUUUACAAUAAACUAUAAAUAAAAUUAUUAAAAAUAUACAAUUAUAUAUUGAAAUAUUUUUUAAAUAUCCCUCCAUUAAGAUAGUACCUAUCGAAUCGAACGAAAUCGAAGAAGAUAGAUGUCGCAGUAUCGAUACUCGAUUUUAAUAGACUAGCACAUAGUGUCAUCUAGUUUCAGUGGAGUGAGAGUGUACAUGGAAGUUUCUUUGAAAUUCAUUUCUUCGAUUAUUUCUUUUGGAUUUAUUGUUGCUGGUGUGAUUGGCGCUUCGUGCUGAGUGUCGUUUAACACAAAUGUCGUUGUGGGCUCUUCCCGCGAAUUUUGUGCAACUCUUCUGCUUCCUGGAGGAAUAUAAGUCCACCAAGCCAGGAAAAAGAAAAGGAGGGAUGCUGCUUUGCCGAUGAAAGCUAAUGCUAGCAUAUAUCUGAAACAAGCGGCCAUUAAUGAAAUUAUAGAGGACGCUACAAUCAAGUGUGGAACGAUUUUUAUAGAUAUAAAAAUAAUCAAGCAUGGAGAAAUGGACUAGAUUUUCACAAGCAUGCAUACUAAGUACGAUAAGAAAUACUGACUUCGACGUUAUUUAGUCGCAUUCCUUGAUAACAUCCUGCGUGACAAGGAGAAUAGUACGUGAUUCCAUCAACUCCGCAUAUUGGACUGAAUUCUGAUCUCGAGCAACCGCAGCCAUUAUUACACGUGUUAUCCAAUGAAAAAGUUUUUCUGUAAAUAUGAAAUUUU